rnacentral:lncRNA from 1 species
GGAUGUGAUUCAGGUGAUCUGGGAUCUUUGUCCCGUGUGCAGCUCCUGCUAUUGGAGCGAAGAGGAUCCGAGAGUCCAGGUUCCAUCCCAAGCCCUGAAUGGUGUCAUACUCCGGACGGGGAGGAGUAUGAACCUGGCCUUAGAGUCUGGAGCUCGGGCAUUCCCCAAUAUUAUCAGUCCACAGCCCUGGACAACCGCAAACCAUUAAGUGGCAGAAACAGCAGCCAAGAUUCUUUGGCAACUUUCAAGGGACGUAGAAAGCGCCCCGGGCUCAUCAGUAUGGAGAGUGGAUCAAGGACAUCAUCCUAUUGUUCCCUCAGCUCAAGUGUGUCUGAGAGUAGCUCCAAGAACCGAGAAAAACCCACCUGUGAGGACCAAGGUUGUGAAUUCCCAGAUGAGAAUGUCCCACUCUAUUUGUCACCACUCUCUCCCAGUGCUUUGCUGACAGAAAUACCAACAAUUGGAGGGACCAUACUGGUCCCGCAAUGCCCAGAGAGCAGUGACCAUACUGAAAAGCACAGGAACAGGUCUGACAGACUCCGAGAGAAGAGGAAGAGGAAGAAGGAGAUCAAGAAGACUGAGGAGAGGAAGAAUAAAGCCCUGCAAAUUUACUCUAAACUUCAGGAUGGAAAAGACCUGACAGAGC